CAGGCCCUGCAGACCCUGUUCUCUGCCCCACGCCUGGGAGAGCCGGGGGCUCGGACACCCCUGUUUACCCCAGAGACGGACAAACUGCGGCUGGACAGCCCUUUCCCGUUCCUGGGCUCUGGUACCACUGGCUAUUCCAAGCCCCCCAGCCUGCUGGGUCCCUACGGCCGCGCCUUCCCUGAGUACCCCUGGAACUUUAACCCAUACCUCACAGGCCCCUUCCCCAAGCUCUCCCCUUCUCUCUAUCCCCCACACUUCUACCCCAACUCCCUGGCCAGUUCCCUGGGCCACCUGCCUUCCACAGGAGCAGGGGGAGGCCCCACGGCUGCACCCCUGCUGGCUGCGACUGGGGAGGGCCUGGGUCCUGAACGCCCCUCAGGCCUGGUGGCAGCCCCUCGCCUGGCACUGCCAGGAGCAGGGGGUCCAGAGACCACGCUGGGCAGAAAGGAAGACAGUGACUCAGAAUUGGAGAUUACUGAUGUCAGCGGCUGCAGCUCUGACAGCGAGGGCGAUGAGGGCCUCCAGGUGUCUCCCAAAGCCAAGGCAGGCAAAGGGGGGACCGGCAGCUGAGCCAGCGUGGGGUGACGGAUUCUGCCGAGGUGGGGACCAGGACAGCCACCCAUGAAGCCUCUGCCAUCUGGUCUGCCCUCGAUGUCAGCCAAGGCCUAGGACCAGGCCCUGGCACCCUCCCAGAGCCCAGUCUCCCUCCCCAACCCCAGAGUGGGGGUCUCGCCUUCCCCUCCAUGGAGGGGGAGGGAAGAAAAUGGCCUCCACCCCCCCCCCCAGGCUCCAGUUUGAGGGGGGUCCCCGCCUGGCCCCACUCCCAAAGUGCAAUACGGCGCCCAGCCUCCCCUGCCCACCCCUGUGCUGUGACCUGUGUGUUUGUGUGGCCGUGUCUCCAACCCCCUGUGCCGGCCCCCAUCCUGAUACCCUCACACAGGCCCCCCUGGGGACAGGGAGCUCAGAGCAAUAACCCCGCCCCC
rnacentral:lncRNA from 1 species